UACGUAGGGUGCAAGCGUUUGUCCGGAAUUAUUGGGCGUAAAGAGCUCGUAGGCGGUCUGUCGCGUCGGCUGUGAAAUCCCGAGGCUCAACCUCGGGUCUGCAGUCGAUACGGGCAAACUGGGAGUACUGCAGGGGGAGACUGGAAUUCCUGGUGUAGCGGUGAAAUGCGCAGAUAUCAGGAGGGAACACCGGUGGCGAAGGCGGGUCUCUGGGCAGUAACUGACGUGAGGAGCGAAAGCGUGGGGAGCAACAGG
rnacentral:rRNA from 1 species